rnacentral:rRNA from 1 species
GAUGAACGCUGGCGGCGUGCCUAAUACAUGCAAGUAGGACGCAGUUGCGAACGGGUGAGUAACGCGUAGGUAACUACCUAUUAGAGGGGGAUAACUAUUGGAAACGAUAGCUAAUACCGCAUACUAGUAGAUGGACCUGCGUUGUAUUAGCUAGUAGGUAGGGUAAUGGCCUACCUGGGCAACGAUACAUAGCCGACCUGCGGAGGGGGUCGGGCACACCGGGACUGGGACACGGCCCAAGCUCCUAGGGGAGGCAGCAGUAGGUAAUCUUCGGCAAUUGGGGGAACCCUGACCGAGCAACGCCGCGGGAGUGAAGAAGGUUUUCGGAUCGUAAAGCUCUGUUGUUAAGGAAGCGGUACUUAACCAGAAAGGGACGGCUAACUACGUGCCAGCAGCCGCGGUAAUAC